rnacentral:rRNA from 1 species
CAGUAGCCGCGGUAAUACAGAGGGUGCAAGCGUUAAUCGGAUUUACUGGGCGUAAAGGGCGCGUAGGUGGUUAUUUGAGUGAGAUGUGAAAUCCCCGGGCUUAACCUGGGAACUGCAUCUUAUACUGGGUAACUGGAGUGCAAUAGAGGGUAGUGGAAUUUCCGGUGUAGCGGUGAAAUGCGUAGAUAUCGGAAGGAACACCAGUGGCGAAGGCGGCUACCUGGAUUGACACUGACACUGAGGCGCGAGAGCGUGGGGAGCAAACAGGAUUAGAUACCCCAGUAGUCCCUGUCUCUUAUAC